GGUUCAAUGGUCUAGUGGUUAUGAUCUCUGUCUUACACACAGAUGGUCUCCGGUUCGAACCCGGAUUGAACCA
rnacentral:tRNA from 1 species